rnacentral:rRNA from 1 species
AACGAACGCUGGCGGCAGGCUUAACACAUGCAAGUCGAGCGCCCCGCAAGGGGAGCGGCAGACGGGUGAGUAACGCGUGGGAAUCUACCCAUCUCUACGGAACAACGCAUGGAAACGUGUGCUAAUACCGUAUACGUCCUUCGGGAGAAAGAUUUAUCGGAGAUGGAUGAGCCCGCGUUGGAUUAGCUAGUUGGUGGGGUAAAGGCCUACCAAGGCGACGAUCCAUAGCUGGUCUGAGAGGAUGAUCAGCCACACUGGGACUGAGACACGGCCCAGACUCCUACGGGAGGCAGCAGUGGGGAAUAUUGGACAAUGGGCGCAAGCCUGAUCCAGCCAUGCCGCGUGAGUGAUGAAGGCCCUAGGGUUGUAAAGCUCUUUCGCCGGUGAAGAUAAUGACGGUAACCGGAGAAGAAGCCCCGGCUAACUUCGUGCCAGCAGCCGCCGUAAGAC